GACGAACGCUGGCGGCGUGCCUAAUACAUGCAAGUCGAACGCUGAAGGAGGAGCUUGCUUCUCCGGAUGAGUUGCGAACGGGUGAGUAACGCGUAGGUAACCUGCCUGGUAGCGGGGGAUAACUAUUGGAAACGAUAGCUAAUACCGUAUAACAGUAGAUGUUGCAUGACAUUUGCUUAAAAGGUGCAAUUGCAUCACUACCAGAUGGACCUGCGUUGUAUUAGCUAGUUGGUGAGGUAACGGCUCACCAAGGCGACGAUACAUAGCCGACCUGAGAGGGUGAUCGGCCACACUGGGACUGAGACACGGCCCAGACUCCUACGGGAGGCAGCAGUAGGGAAUCUUCGGCAAUGGACGGAAGUCUGACCGAGCAACGCCGCGUGAGUGAAGAAGGUUUUCGGAUCGUAAAGCUCUGUUGUAAGAGAAGAACGAGUGUGAGAGUGGAAAGUUCACACUGUGACGGUAUCUUACCAGAAAGGGACGGCUAACUACGUG
rnacentral:rRNA from 1 species